GUGGGGAAUCUUAGACAAUGGGGGAAACCCUGAUCUAGCCAUGCCGCGUGAGCGAUGAAGGCCUUAGGGUUGUAAAGCUCUUUCAGCUGGGAAGAUAAUGACUGUACCAGCAGAAGAAGCCCCGGCUAACUCCGUGCCAGCAGCCGCGGUAAUACGGAGGGGGCUAGCGUUGUUCGGAAUUACUGGGCGUAAAGCGCACGUAGGCGGACCGGAAAGUCAGAGGUGAAAUCCCAGGGCUCAACCUUGGAACUGCCUUUGAAACUCCUGGUCUUGAGGUCGAGAGAGGUGAGUGGAAUUCCGAGUGUAGAGGUGAAAUUCGUAGAUAUUCGGAAGAACACCAGUGGCGAAGGCGACUCACUGGCCCGUUACUGACGCUGAGGCGCGAAAGCGUGGGGAGCAAACAGGAUUAGAUACCCCGGUAGUCC
rnacentral:rRNA from 1 species